UCUCUCUCUCCAUCUCUUUCUCUUUCUCAUAGUACUAAUUAGAAAAGAAAAAAAAUGGGUAGCAUUAUUGAAAGCAUGAAGAGAGGCUUUGGUUAUCUUGUUGACAUUGUAUCUGGUGGAACCAGAACCGCAACGGAAAAUAAUGGAGAAAAGCCAGAGCUCAAAGUUGAGGUUAAAUUAGCUCAGACGACAGCCCGAGACACAACCUUCGAUGAUUUACCCCCUCCUCCUAGCGUUGAAUCAACUUAGAAAAUGAAAUAAAAAAAAUACAUUUUCCUAUCAAUAAUGUUUUGGUUGUGCUUUUAUAUAUUUAUAUUUAUAUUUAUCUCGCCAGAUUUUUAUUUCAGUUAUUUUAAGUGUAUUUAAUACUAUGUAAUAUUGCCGGAUUAGGCAUUUGUUAUAAGUGUGU